rnacentral:lncRNA from 1 species
UUGCAUAAGAAAGUAUCAAAACAUAAAUCUACUUGCUAUUACAAGCAUUCAUCUCAUAUAUUACAUUUUUACAUUCUUAGAUUUCAUCACAUUUGAUUCUUUGAUUCUUACUUCCAAAUACAAUCAAAUUAUUGCAAAUUUAUUACAAGUUUGAUACAUCUUGUUCUUUCAUUUUCCAUAUCCCUAAGUAGCCGACUCAGGGUGUUGCUAUCUGGUCUCUGUGGUAGGGCGCAAACUACGGAGCUACGCCCUUUCCCCGCGCCGCCGUGCCGCUCGCGUGUGAACCUGUAACACCCCGAAACAACGUCGGGUGAGAACUAACUCCAUAGUUCCCAGUGGGUACGGCCACCCAAGGGAAGAGCUCAACCAUCAGGUUCAGCGGGUGCCAUUUCUAUAGGGUCUUAGAAAUAGUGAGUUGUCCCAGGCAAGAAUCAAUCACCAAUCCCUUCCCUAUACAGGUGGCAUGGCCCGCAAUCAGCUGGAAACACAUCCCGAAUUCUCAGCCAACUGGAAUAUCAUCAAUUCUUGACGGUUUUUCAGUUCACUAUAAAAUGCUAGCCAAGCUAAGGCUACACAACCCCUCAGCGAAUCAAUGUCGUGCUCUGCGAAGACCUUAAUGGCAUGCGAACCAAUACUCUGCACCCUUUAUUAAACCAACUCCUGUGUGGACCGGUUCCCGAAAGGUCACGUUCGUUCGUGCAAUCUAAUGUGUCAUAAUACUUAUUCAACCAAUCAUACCCAAUACCUACAUCAAAUCUCACCUAUUGUGUAGUGCAGAAUCCAAUGAUAUCCAGUCGCUACCCACUGCGGCGCGAGGGCCAAUACUUCACAAAUAAUCCAGGUAUUGUCUAGGUACAUUCACUCGUCCCAAAAUGCAAAGUAGGUACUAACUGUAUGCUUAUGCAACUCGGCGAACUGCGAUCAAAAAGGACAUGCGAAGCACCAAGUAUCAAAUAAUGCCGAACACGAUAUCAUUAAAGCUUAUAAUACUGGCACGACCUUCCUGUCGCGGCUGUGCGCCCUCAGUUCUCGGCGGCAUACAUCCGCCCACUUCGAACCCUAGCUGUGAACUCUCCGAUGCCGCUGUCCAGUGGUCGCCUAGACUGAUAAGGCUGCUUCGGGCGUGCCCUGGCUCUGGAGCUGAAGAGGCAGUGCAGAAGCUGCGAGGUGCAGGCAAAGAACCCUCGGCACUCUGAAGAAGUGGCCAUCCUGGCGCCAAGAAACCAUCCUGCCCCACGCUGUGGAACACUGUGGCGGUACGAGGGCCCACCACAGAUAACACAACGCGGUGGUCGACGACGCUCGGUGCCGCCACGCAGUACGAAGAACCUCGACCCUCGACUGUCCUUGACUGUCCCUCGCGAUACUUGGCGGUCUCCUGAAGGCCUGCUGAACCACUGCUUCUCAGCUACUGGUCAUUUCCCUUACCCUCGAUCCACAACGUCUACUUUCCUUCAUGGAUUUUCGCCCUUUCUCCACGAUACAAAGGCUCGGUUCACGACCUCCCGGAGUAAGUGGAGAGGUUUGCACGCUGGACAAUCUGGAAAAUCGCAGUGCCUGCAAAACCCACCUCAAAGAUACGGCCUGUCCUCUGUCUCGGAUACAAAAGGAACACAGUGCAGUAAUCGACGAGAACUCUCGCUCGUACUCAGCCACUUCCUGUCCCCUGUCUCAAGUUCCUCAGAUCCCUUUCAUCUGCUCUUCACACUCUGUGGAAUAUUGUAUCAACAACAACUCCUUGAACCUUGUUCCACGUGAUAGCAGACAAAUCAGCACGGGAUCCUCCCGAUAGUCCAUCCCAACCACCUGUAAGCCUCGCCAUUCAAGGUGGUGGUGUCGCAAACCAAACUCGGUACGCUCCUCAAAAAGUGUUCAUAGAAUAGUUUUCCAUGCAUUAACCAUUUUCAACACCAAUGAUUCUUUCUGCCCAUUCAAGACACUGGAGGCGUUUGCAUGCACGAAUUUCAUUCAGUCGUUCCAAUCAUCCGCUCUGUCCUCAACCCCCACCAUUCGGGUACACACUGUCCUCAAGCUAUUGUACAGGUACUCGGUUGGUAGCGAUACUACUGUCUCCUGUCGGUCUCUGCCCUCGGAGCUACUGGGGUGUAUCGGUACCGGUGACGUGCUCUCACUGUGGUUGCACCUCUCUGGUAAUAUUAGUCAGAAUUCGGAGGUACAGACCUGGAAUCUCUCUAUCGGUCGUCUGCGCGUAAUAGAGAUCUCUAACCUCUUCAUCCUGUCAUCCUUGCCGACGCGCAGCGUCCAUCUGCUGUCGUGCUGCCGCGGCCUGCUGAUAACCAACUACUGUCAACGCGCAAAGCUGGAUUCAAUCAUGGAAGGCUCACUGGACCCCGACGUGACGGAAAGUCUCUACCUACUUCCGCAGCGGCCCUCAAGCCGCACCGCGCGGGUCCAAGAACGAGUCUAGGCAUCUUGAACUGCCAACACAAAAAAACAAACAUAGGUCAAUAAACCCUAUACUAUCUGACCCUCAUUGAGGAUUAUAAACCAGCUAAUCAAGCGAAAGUAAUGAAAUGUACCGCCUACCUUAACUUCCCGAUGUACUGUUGUCGCCGCCAACGUGACCUCUGCAAAAGUUAGUACUUGCCACAUCCCGAUCAACUCCUUACAUUCGGGAGUUUAUAAAUUACCAAUCAAGAAGUACUCUUCGCUAACAACAACCUCGAGAUAGACAUUGUCUCUUCACGACCUAUCCUUAUAGUCCAACCAGCCUAAGGUUUAACAAGCGUCUACUAAGACUCAACCUAAGCUUGAUACCACUAUAAUCUGUCCACGCCGGUACACGGAAGCAUAUCCGGCACGUUGCACAGACCGCCAUAAACCAUCAGUAAUAAGGUGCGUCUACGAUGAAGCAAGUCGAUAGGAAGUAAAACAAGAGAGCCUAUCCUGAUUCGAGCAAAGUAAAUCGAUAACAAAGAGUAUUCCAAAUCCGAUGUCAAAAUCAAAGUGUAUACAAACCAUGAUCUGCAGCAAAAAAGGAAGGUAACACUACUAUACUAUCAACUCCCGAAAGUAAAUAUACAUCACGGGUGUACAAAAAGAAUGAACAUGUGGUCUCUCUAUUAUAUGAUGGACAUCACGCCCGGCCGGUACCCGAGCUCAAGCAAGGUGUGCGACUAGCACGGUCCUAGUAGUGCCCUAGCUAGGCGCUGACUCCCUUGCCACGAUCCCUAGCCUCUCCGUAACAGGCUCGUAAAACAACACCAAAAGGCGUGAGAACUAUUAACAUAGUUUCCCAGUGGUAUAGCCGCACCUCGGCGAAUUACACCACUUAGGCUCAGAUGUAGCAGAAUGGAUAUAAGAAGCAGUAAUUUGCAUGAUCAUAUUUCAUGCUAACAUUCAACGCCAUGUAACAAAUAGAUGAAAUGUACAAACAUGUGAUCAUAGCAUCAACAUAUGAAUCACUGAAGGAUAGAAUGCAUUGGCUACUACAUAUAGUCAUAAACCGCGUAGCAUAAGUGUGAAUAACUUACGUCUGUACACUGUAACUGGUAAUUAUUCCAUUACUGAUCGCAGACUUUCCUUUAAGCACUUUCCUUUCAUUCACAGGGAUCUAGCCUCAAGGAUAGUCCAGCUUUGCGCCGCGCUAAUGGUCCCCGUGUAAGUAUAUCCUCCCGCACGGCAAUCCACUUCGGCACCCAAUCCCCGGCCGGCGCAAACUGUCGCGUAGCAACUCGGAGUGCCGGUUUAGGAUGCUACCCCUCACAAGCAUGUGCGAAAUGACACGAUCAAGCAAGCAAGUCAACAGUCCAACAAUGUCUCAAUAUCAUAUUUUUAGUUCACAUAUUCUCGGUUCUCGAUCCAUUUGAUCGACAUUCAGUAUAACAAAUAUUAACAACAAACUAGAAUCACUAGUUUAGUAAGCAUACAGGGGUAAUGCUAAUUUACAUAUGGCAUUAGAAUCUUUCCACUACUCAUGACGAUAAAGCAUGUCAUUUCUCUACUUUCCAAAAUCACAUCAUUAUGUCCAUUAGUAAUCUUAAACUAAUAUAAUAUAAACAUAAAUAUAGCAUAAAGACACUUAUGCAUGAGUGCUCUCUACUUCAUAGAGGCUCUAUUUCCAUUAUGUAAGGCUUAAUCACACGGAUGUCCCUAAUCCUUAGUAAUACAUAGAGUGACAAUAACACACAAGUAUAUCGAUUCUCUAUUAGUGACAUAUAGAACAUAGAGGAGCUUCACCUGCUCUGGUUAGGUCCGACCCACCUCGUACUAUGCUCAAAGCAGUCACAAGACGUCCCAAGAAUCAGCUCAACAAAGUCCCAACAUGCUGAAAAUAAGGUAAAAACGCACCGAGCCGAUUAUACAAUCCAAUUUCAGGCAAUUCUAAUAUAACAAGUGAGCUCAAUUCCACAAUUCAUGUUUUGUUAGUUCUAUUACUCACGUUAAGCUUCCGAAGCCCUCCAAUGCAAACGAAGGCGAUCUCAAGGUCAAAUACCUUCUCGUUGCGAACAAUAUCAAAAACGGCGUCAAAAUCAUUGACUAUUAAUAAAUAUAGCCGGAAACUUACGAUUUUCAGUUUUUCUAACUGAAGUUCUAGCUUACCCUAGGUUAGAGCAGCUUCCACCAGCUUCUAAGGGUACAAAUUCAGCUCAACGAAGCUCGAAGACUGCUGCGAAGGAAAAUCCCAUUUGCAUUAGUUCGCUCAAACAUAGCAUUUCGUUCCAAAUAGCUUCAUAAAUGGCUAAAUAUCUCCAUUAAGCUUCAAGUAGCUUAACCCUGGUCUAAGGAGGUUAAUUCGACAGCUAAUUAAUCCAACUUUAAUUGCUGAAAUCUCAGGUUAAAGCAACUAGAAGCAUAAACUCAAAACGCAACACGUAAGACUACUAGACGUUGAUAAAGGAGGAAAUCGAUGUUUACCUUCUCAAGUUUCCAACCAGCACCCACUCGUCCAGGGCUGCGAAAAUCCUUCCAAAACGCUCUCUGCAUGUGCACAAAGGCGCUGCGACGCUCGCAACCAGCGAAAACGCCGCGCGACGACGAAACGACGCGAAAUCGGCGAAUUCUUUGUAGAGAGAGAAAGAACCUAGAGAGAGAGAGAGAAAAUGAUGCAAUUGGUUUCUCUGGCUCUAGACACAUCCAGCAAGCUCCAAGAGUCUGCUGGGAUCAAAUAUGAGGCACAAGAUGCUGAAAUGACCAAUUGGCCCUGCUACCACAAUCUGCCAGCUUGUACCGUACAAUAAUGGCUUACCGGAUACAGCAGCAGAAAUGCUGAAAUUUCGCAGGUCAAUGCAUUUCUUAUUUUUUGCAUUCAAUCACUCCAAACUUGUCCAAAACACUUGUUCUAACUUUUAGAACAUGUAGGAGUGAUCACACACCAUUCACACACUCGAAUUCGCAAUUGCAAAAGUUCAUGUAUUACACUAAUGCUAAAGAAGACAGUAAUAAAGAAUAAAGAAAGGUUAAUGCUAAUAUAUAGUCUAGUAAAGUAAAAGAAUGAGUAAAAGUAAAGAUGGGUAAGAAUAAAGUGUGAAGCAAUUAAUCUACUAUAUAGAAUUGCAUAAUGUACAUGAUGCAUGUUGUGCAGGCAAAAGCAUGGUAAUGUUAGUUGCAUGACUUAUGAUUCAUAUCUAUCUAUUGGAUCAACAGUUGUUUGCCUCCUUUGAACUGAUNNNNNNNNNNNNNNNNNNNNNNNNNNNNNNNNNNNNNNNNNNNNNNNNNNNNNNNNNNNNNNNNNNNNNNNNNNNNNNNNNNNNNNNNNNNNNNNNNNNNCCUAGGGGCGUGGGGGCACAUAUAGAAGUGUCAUAAUGCAAAUACACCCCUGUAGUUCCGACCAUUCAGAAUCUGUCACUGCGUACCGGUACACGGGCCAGCGUACCGGUACACCUCCCACGAAAAUGCCAAACCCGAACCUCGGGUUUGCCUCAAAACUGCCUGUGUACCGGUACACGAGCCCGCGUAUCGGUACAACCAUCAACCCUGUACCGGUAUAGCCAUCAACCCUGUACCGGUACACGGCCCAAUGAAAGCUACCCCAGAGCUGAGUUCUCGGGCUCCAACUUUUUGGGUUUUGGUACUAAGCUUUAGACCUCACUUCUCGGGCUUCGAACCAUAGGUCGGAACACUGUCAACGACCCACCAGAAAGUCUGGAAAAGCUCAGGACACAUCCAAUCACUCGAACCUCGCAAUUUGCAAAGGUCCAGUGUGUUACAAUUAUUCCUGGUUGGAACCCCGCGCUUUGUAUGGAUUGUGAUGCCUAGGAUGUAUAGGAGAAACUCUGUUCGUCCGGCGGUCUGUCGGCGUGCCGGAAUCCGACCAAAUAGGCAGGUCACGGAGCGUGACAAUACAAGUCCGGAUUUGCACAAAAGAUUUGCAAACUACACUAUUUUAUAGUACAUUGCGAUGCUACUUUUGGUCAAGGAGGUGCAAGCGACGAAGGGCGUUGCCCACAAACGCAAGCGAUACGGCGGCGGGGGAUGUGGCUCGCAUCUUAGUCGUCCUAAGUGGUUGUGGCCGCGGCGGCGGCGUCGAGAGCUCUUCUUCGUCGCAUUUAUUUUGGCGGCACAGCCGGUCAUUGCGGGGGGCGGAAAUUAAAGUCGUCCUUGUUGGCGGCAGUGGUCGUUCCGACCACGGCCGCGGCGGAUGGGGAGAGUGCUGGAAAUUAAAGUCAUCUUCCACUUCUCCUCUGCAAACGCAGCGGAUACUGACAGGCUUCCAUGGAGGAGAGAGAGUGCUGGAUUAUACUGUUGAUCGGUGGAGAUUGCACUAGAACGAGCCGAAGGAUGCACUGUUAGAAGGGCUGGUGUACUAUUUUCCCUCGCGUUGCUCCUUCGCGUUGCACUAUUAUACCUGUUGCGAGGUGCGCAGUCUUUGUCAUUUAGCUUCAGCUUAUUUAAUUUCUUAAAGCCGAACAGUAAACAGCGGGGCCAGCAAAUAGAGGGACUGCUUUGGUUCUGGUCCCGAGGAGGGUGAGGUUGCGUAAAGGGUAAGGGGCGCAUUUAAUGCCUGCCAGGACUGGAGUAGUCUUCUAACACUUGAUAGGGCUAAACUCUUAACCCGGCUUAAGCAUUUUGGGUGGUGGUAAGGCCCAAGAGGUUAAGAGAGUUAAGCGUGCUAGGACGGGAGUAGUCCUAGGAUGGGUGACCCCCUGGGAAGUCGGGGCGUCACAGAUGGUAUCAGAGCCAAUUACCAGCCGGAAGUGUGAGAUGAGUCUCGGCUGAGCCAGGGUCUGGAUGACGGGCUAGCGAGACGAGUCUCACAUCGCCUGGUACUUGUGAGUCUGAGCCUGACGAGGACGUCAGGGCUUAAAGAAGGGGAGAUUGUGAGACCCCAGAUAGUCCUAUAUAUAAAAUAUAAUAGGGCUAAACUCUUAACCCGGCUUAAGCAUUUUGGGUGGUGGUAAGGCCCAAGAGGUUAAGAAAGUUAAGCGUGCUAGGACGGGAGUAGUCCUAGGAUGGGUGACCCCCUGGGAAGUCGGGGCGUCACAAAAAUGAUACCUGCGACCACAUUCUCAGCUGCCGCCGCCUCCUCAGUCUGGGCCGCGUACAUGCGCCCGCUCGGGGCCUGUCGUGACCCCUCCGUCUGCCGCUGAACAGGUGGCCGACCGGUCUGGUGAUGCGCAGAGGAUGUCCCCUGGCUGGGACUUGGCGAUGCUGGUGCAGAUGCCGCAGAUGGCGCUGGCAAUGGACUCCUCGGGCAAUCCGACUGGAAGUGGCCCUCCUGGCCACACAAGAAGCACCUGCCCCGGCUGCGUGAACACUGCCGCGGGUAAUGAGGACCGCCACAGAUCACGCAGCGGGGAGCCUGAGCGAGCGAUGUGCGGGGUCCUCGCCUGCGCGCUGGGAGUAAGACUGGGCCGCGUGCCUGGGCGACUGGCUCCUCUCCUGGGGAUGCUCGGGGCGCCUCGUAGAUUGCGUCUGACUACCCUCAAGCCGCGGGUCUCUUCCUUCCCUUUCUCCAAGCUCUCGCGGGGGGGGGCUCCUGCAGCAUCCCGCCGCUCCUGCCUCAACGUAAUCAAUGCUCGAUCCACAACCUUUUCCCGGUGUAAGGUUCUGGAGUUGGAAGACUGCACCAACCGAAAGAUAGAAGGCCGCAAACCGCGCUCAAAAAGAUGCGGUCCUUGGUCCUCGUCAUCCCACACCACAAAAGGCACACAGAUGGGGUAAUCGAAAAACGUGCCCUGCUCGGUACUUGGACCACGGACCGGUGCGUGCGAUGCCUGGGGCAGAGCUGCGCAAUGCCUGCUCGGCAGGUUCUUCCUCUUGAGGCGCUGGGUAGGAAUAGGGGUGGCGCUAGAAGAAGCUCCUUGGAGAUCGCGUGCCAAAGGAGGAUCGCCUGUCAAGUCGUGCUGGAUUGGUCCUGAUGGUCCAAACCACCCAACGUAGGCCUCGCCGUCAGAAGUGAGGGGUUGGCGAAGGCAAACGCCGUGUCCCUCGUCGCUCAACGAAGGCGUAUCUCGAAAUAGUUUCUCCAUAUGCAUCAACCACUUCUCAACAAUCCAGCGGUCGACGUUCUGCACAUCAAACAUCCUCGGGCGUCCGCUCCUGGAAUCACUGAGGUGCUCCAUGAGCCGUCUCGCCUCGGCUCCCAUCGGCCUCAGGGGAAAACUGGCCCCGUCACCGGUCUCUGCGACUGGGGUACGCGAGCACCUCCUUCCCGAGGGGUGGUGGUGCGCCCGGGCCGCAGGGGAAGAACUGGGGCGCAGGACUGCGGCCCUCGGUGCACGUCGCACCACGGUGCUGCGUGCUGUGGGCCCUGGGUCUCCCUCGAAGCUGCCGCCUGCUGAAGUAGGGAGGUUCCUCCAGGAUGUUCAUCGCGCUCCUGCGCUUGAGCCACCUCAGCCUGCCGCUGCGGCCGCUUGCGUCUGCGCGCCAACAAUCAGUGAGAAACCGCCAAAGCUGGGCCCUCAAGUCACGGGACCUCACUAGAUGCCGGAAGUAGCGGAGUGGCUUCGACCUGCCUCGACGGGUGUGCGCAUCAUCCGCGCGGCGCAGAGUGAGAGCGCGUAAUCGGCAUCGUCACUACAAAACAUAAGAGCGCAAGUUAGUAACCCACGCUGUCGCAUCCCCGCUCAAAAGAUAAAACCCCAAAUCAUGCGAAAGUAAGGAAGUGUCCUUCACUACUAACUCCCGAUGUUACGUUGUCGGCCGCCAACGUAACCCUCCGCGAAGUUAGAAGCCAUACACUCCGAUCAAACUCUAACUUUUUAGAGUUGUCAUAAACCCAAUCAUAAUACUUUCGCUCACAAGUCAAUUAGACCUCGUCUCUCACGAGCCUAAUUCCUAUAGUCCAACCGGCCUAAGGUUCGCUAGGUCCACUAAGACUCAACCCUAGGCUCUAAUACCAAAUUAAUCUGUCACGCCCCGGGACCGGCGGAGGCCCUCCCGGUAGCGUGCCCAGACCCGCCAUAUGUCUACACAUAUAAGGCGUCUACCAUAAAAGCGGAAGUAAAAGCAAAUAAUAAAACAAAUAGAAGAAGUGAAAUAAUGAGCAGCUAAUGAUAUCAGAGCGAGUAAAGUUCUAACAUCUACACCAAGGUAAAGCAGUAAAGCUAGACAAUAAAAGAAGUCAUAAGUAGUACAAUAUCUGUCUCAAAAGUACAAAAACGGUGGUCUCUAAUACACUGGUAGAACUCUCAACCUCUCGCAAAAGGAAACAAAAAUCGAGAGGUAGACCACCUAGCAACUCGUCCUCGAAGGAAGCUAGCUCGAAGCAACUCCCUUCCCGCGAUCCCUGGCCUCACCCUGAGUGGAAGGCUCUGUAAAACAUCGAGAAAAACAGGGCAUGAGAACUAUAAUUUAUAGUUCCCAGUGGGCAAUUACUGACCUCAGCUUAAUGCACCACUAGGCCCCAAAAAAAGAGGGUAAGUACAAUAAUAAUAGCAACAGAUAGCGAACACGAACUGCAGAAGGAAGCAUGAAUGAAAUGCUAUGCUACUAUGUCUCCAGUAAGCAUGAUGUUAUGGUAAUGUACAUCUACGCUAUCAUAAGGUAAUAUAUCCGAUGCAUACUAAUAUGUCUCAACAUAAAAGCAAGUAAACCUCACGAUGCCAUAUAUCAAUGCAUAAGGGUAAACUUUAUCCAAACAACCGAGUGUGCUACGAUGCGAUAAUGAAACUGGCAAGUAUACAAAAUGUACCAAUGCUAUAUCAUAAGCGUGUCCAAGUAAUCCAACUACUAAUCCUAUCUAGUAGUGAUUGUUCAUAUUCAACACCGUGUCGAUUUCAUUUCCAAUUAAGGGCCUACCAAAGGUAGUCCAGCUUGUGCCGCCUAAGUGCCUGUGGUAGCCCGACAUCCCUACUCUUGGGAUGUGUCUGUCCCACUCGGCCCCGUAGGCUUCUCAAUACCGCACGAGCGAACGUAGUCGCGUAGGCUAACUCCGGAGUGCCGGCUUGUAGGGAGCGACCCUCACAAGCAUGUGCGAAUGAGCACAAAUGGCAAGCAAGCAUAGUCCAAGUCUCAAAUAUCCAAUCCUCAUGUCUCUAACAUGGUACGGUCACUAGCAUCACGAAGAUCUAGUUUAAGUCAAAAUAUGAAGUUUCAACAUUUGUUACGCCUAGUGCCCCUUGAUGACACUUAGGCAAUUUGAUGUUCAACAUGUAUUCCAAAUCCCUCAAUGGCCCUAUCCACUAGGUUCACACAAGUCCUGAGCUCAAUGCCGCUUAAUGACAUUAGCUCUCCAAUUCACAUGAUAUCAAGUUCGAUGCCUACAUAUAUAGCAAUUGUCAUCUUUCAUGUCUCAAUUAAACUUAUGUUUAAACGCAUGAAUCAUAGCUCAUUUACUCUAUAGAAAUAUGAAAUCAAAUCUCAUAUAGAAUGCUAAAUGCAACCAAAGAUCUCCCAAGCAACUCUCUACUACAUAGGGGUCCAAAAUUUCAUCAUAUAUAACAUAUACAUUUUAAGCAUUCUAAAAAUCAUAAUAAAUACAUUUAAUAUGAAAAUGCAUGAAUUAUUAGUAAACAAAGCACUUAUCACCAAAUAUGAGAUUUUCUCAUAUCAAAGGCUAGGUCAAACCCACCAAAAUCGAAACUUUUGUUUCGCCGAACGGAGAUUUCCACAAGCUUUUUAGCACCCUAGGAACAUCAAAAAUGGUGUCAUCCAAUCGAUACGAAGAGCAAUAAGCUCAAUCAUUAACCUAGAAGCAAAAUGGCCAAAACUCACCUCCAGAGUAGAAAUCUUCUCCUAAGCUCCAAAAGAGAGCUAGAACCCUUCCAAUCCAAGCCCUAGGAAGGUUCUAAACCAACCAAUCAAGCCUCAAAAGCCCUAGGUUCAAAAAGCCCAAAAUAAACCCUAAGUCCCAAAACUAGGGUUUCAUCUCAAAGAAAGCUCUAAAAUUCAAAACUAGAGGAAAGAAUCUUGCCACUUACCUCUUAGAAGCCUCAAAAUCAGCUCAAAGUUCUCAAACUUCAAGUAUCUUCCCUCAAUCAAACUCCAAACCCAAGCUCCAAGCUCAAAAAUGGAGGAAAUAGCUCCAAUAGGCAAAAGAGAGGGAAAAACCAUUAAAAUCCAAGCUAAAAUGAGAUCAAAUCCAAAAGGGGUGAAGGGGAGAGGUGCCCUACCUGAUUACCCACUCUUCUCAGCCCAGGGGAGAGCCCUAGGGGCGUGGGUGCUGAUAUAAGAAGCCCACAAUCGCAAAUAAGCCCCUGCAGAACAAACUGUGUAGAAUCUGCCUCCUUGUACCGGUACACGGGAUCUUGUACCGGUACAAGAGCUACGAAAAUCCAAAACCGAGGCUCGGGUGCACGGUUCUGCGGCACUGUACCGGUACAGGCCCGAUGGCUGUACCGGUACAACCAUCAACAUUGUACCGGUACAAGACCAUCCUUGUACCGGUACAAGACCUGCGAAAAUGCAAACCCGAGGCUCGGGUUUCCGAGUUCUCGGCUCUGUACCGGUACAAGCACAACCUUGUACCGGUACAAGCCCGCCAGACAGCCAAUCCGAGAGCUGACCAAAAUCCAAAUUUUUGGGUUUUGGUGCGAGGCUUCGUACCAUACUCCUCGGGACACGUGCCAUAGGUCGGAACACAGUUAACGACCUACCAGCAAGUCUGGAAAAGCUCAGAACACGUCCAAUCACUCGAACCUCGCAAUUUGCAAAGGUCCAGUGUGUUACAGACCGGUCCUAGAACACAGAAAAGUUCAGUAAAAUAGUUUUAAAGCAAUCUAAGUCUUCUGAACUUAUUCUAAUUAAGUAUCUUCACCACAAAUGAUCUUUUCUUCAUACCUUAGAUGCCGAACUUUACGAAUGAAUCUUUGUUCUUCAAUUUGAAUCUUUUCUUCAAAAACUUUCGCGAUCAACUCUUCAAGACUCCAUUCAACAUUACGAAAUUCGCCAACCUAUAAAAUCCUUAACAAUCUCUCCCUUUGGCGAUUUCGUGACAAAAUAUACUACAAUGCUCGUAUACAACUCAAAAACAAUAAAAAGAAGAUCAUCGCAAUCACGAAACAAUAAUCUCCUGCAUGAUCGAUCCAAUAAACAAAAGUUACAAUUUUCAUAACCUUAAUACAGACUCUAUGACUUGGACAUGGAGUCUUGAAGUCUUGAAUUAUUCCUACAAAAAUAUUCUUAAAACGAAAAUAAAGAUUCAAGUAUACUUAUCAAGAUCAAACAUAAUCAAACAUAAACGUCAAAAUAGUACCAAGUCAGUUCAUAGUCAAGCACCUAAGCAAACAUGUAAACUAAAUUUACACAACUAUGCCAAGUGCACCAAAACAAAAAAAAAUCAAAAUAGUACACAACUAUGCAAAGUGCACCAAAACAAAAAAAAAUCAAAUCUAAACUAAUGCUUCAUCAUCAUCAAGAGCCAUCCAUCUUCAUCGUAUCAAGUCAUCUCCCCCUUUUUGUCAGGAAGGGCCAAAAAGACAAAAGGAGGAACCCCGCAACAUCUAAUCUGAAGCAUCCCCUGGGGGUAAAUCCGCUCGGCAACACCCUAAUUUGUCAAAAAUCAUAUUGUAAACAUGUAACAUACCAGAUUUUGGUAUAAAAAAUAAAAAUAAAUAAAAAUAGUGUGAGAAACUAUUUUUAUUGGAUUUGUAGGAGUAAAACAUAAGUCAAAAAUGACCUGUGCUGAAAUCGGAAUUAAAACAGAAGAUUUAGAAUUUUCUGUUGGAAACGGGGCAGAUAAAUUAGCAGAAAAUGCACAGUCUCAGAAAAUUAUGAAAAUUGGAGGAUAAGUCAGAAAUAUUUUUAUGAGGUUAGAUUUAAAGUUUCAUAUUUUUCUGACACCCGUAGAGUGAGAAAUAAAAUCCGACAGCUAUCUGAUAAAGAUUGGAGUUCGGUACAGUUUUCAGUGACCAAACGGGGUCGAAACUGAACCAGUGAUCGUCAGCUUGUUAAGUUAACUAAAACCGAAUAUGACUGUCAAGUUUGAGCUCAAACGGACACUCAGGGAGCUCCGGCGAAAGUUAUCAGAUUUCAAGCUGCCCGGGAGUGAAUAGUGUCUUGGGGGUAUUAUUAAGAAGCUGUUGCUUCUUCUUCUCCUUCGGCCGCACACCACACAUGCACACGACACACACACACGCAUACAUGGAAAGGGAGGGGGGAAGCUUCCCUUUCUCUCUCUAGAUUUCUCCCAAAAAUGAAUGGAUUUGGUGGAGAAGCAAGCUUGGAAGUCGAUCUUCAUCUUCUUCGUCUUCUUCCUCUCCAUUAGAGCAAGCUUUGAAGGUAAGCUUCAAACCCUUUAAUGACAUUUCUCUCUAGUUUGGUUUUUAAGCUCUAAGAAUGGAUUUAGAGGUAUUCUACCAUGCUAAUUAGAGGUUUGAUGCUUGAAACUAAGGCUCUAAUGGUGGAUUUUUACCUAGUUGUAAUCUAGGGCUCAAAAAUGCUAAUUUUGUAAAUAAGAGGGUUUGAUCUCAUUUGACCCUCUGUAAACCUAAUUGCUAGGUAAACGAACGCGUUGGCGAAGUCGGUUCGGCGAUUCGUCGAGCCGUUGAGAAGUUAUUAAAGAAACGGACGUUUAGGCUUCGUUUCCGCCUGGAGGGCCGAGGCGACAUCGCAAACCCAUGAAAAUGGAUUUGAAGCAUCGUGGCACAUAACUGAAGACCUUUAAUUUUUGGAUCGUGAAUUAGAGGCCGUUCGGGUGGUCGCGUUAGAGAUCGGGCCAAACCGGGUGCCGGGUGCCGCGGGAGGCCGAUUGCAAGUGUCGACAAGCAAUCGGAAUGCGAAAUGAGGUGGGUUGUGUUUACCGAAGCGACUUGGUAGCCCCGCAUGUCAAAGCGAAAUAUGGAAUCUUGUUGAUGCAUAUGUGUAUGUGCAUACGGCAUAUUAGCAUUGUAUAAAUGCAUGCUAGUUGGUAAUUUGCAUAUUAGUAUGUAUGCUUAGUGAAAUACACGCUAGGGGUAUUUAGCAUUAUGAGAUUCAUGUUGACAUGUAUUAGAGAACGUGAGCAUAUAAAUGAAUGUUAACAUGUUGUUAAUUAUAUGAGUUAUGAGAAAUUGCUAAAUAUGGACACAUGUUAGAUGACAAUAAGCAUAUUGACAUUAUGAAAAUGCAUACUACAGGAUAAUUGCAUAAUAAGGCAUUAGGAAAGUACAUGCUAGUUGUAAUGUAUGUUGGCAUUGAGAGGAUGCAUGUAGUUAACAUUAAAAGAAUGCAUGUAAAUGACAUGAUGUAAAAGCUAGGCAAAUGCUUGGUAUGGUUGCUAUAUAAUAAUUAUCGUAGAAUGCAUGAUGAAUAUGCUAUGUAAAUGCUAAAUGAUUGCAUGAAUUGGAUCGAUAACUCUAUGAUAGAGACCUUGAUAUUGGACAUCUAUAUAUUAGAUCGAGUGGCACUUAACCUAGAGUUAGGAACCUAGGUUGAACAUGGAUGAUAUGAACCUAGUGUGAAUAAACAUAGGUUGGACAUGAACCUAGUGUCAAAGAACUUAGGUUGGAAUCAUGUGUGGCAUUAAACCUAUUGUUAAAGAACAUAAGUCGGGCUUGGACAAUAGUAAACAAGGGUGACAAUGAAAAUAGAGACAUGAUUGGCAUCAAGAAAGUGGUUGUUAAACAUAGUUUAACCAUAUUGACAUUGGUCCAAGUUGACAUAGAGAGUGGCAUGAUUAAAUAGGUAGAAAACCUAUUACGACAAUGGCAUUGUGACGAGUGGCUAUGAAUCCUCAAGUUGAGGAUUGGAUCGAUACUCACGUUACGUCUUGGCUUGAGGGAGGUAGCUCCCUCUCGGGCGGUGCGCUCCGGAGUUGGUCACCACUGGGCGUGGUAAAGUCCCCCCAUAUGACGGUCCCCAGGGAGGUUCGAGUCCCCCGUUAUUAAGGGAUUUGGUUGUGAGUUAUUGGGGUUAACAUGGUUAACCAGUAAGAUUGGGUCAUAGCCAAAUGAAUGUACAACAAGUAUACAUUAUGAGUUAUGGAUUUGGUAUCCCAGUCGAGAGGAUUUAGGGCUGAGGUGUAUGUGAGACGUCCAUCGCCUCGAGCCUGGUUCUAGUGCGGUACUUCGCAGACGAUUGACUCAAGACCGAGUCGGGUGGUUAGCCUUGUAAAGGUAGAUGAAACGUUAUGAUUAAAACGGUGAUUGACAAGAAUCUAAGAUAGAGAAACCUUAGAUAUCAAACGGAUGAGCUAUGGUUAGCAGAAUGGAAAGUAGUAUCGAGUGAACUACUAGUUGGUUGCAUUAUUGCAUGAUUUGCAUAUAGCAUUGCAUUAUUACGUUUGUGAGGCAAUGCAUGAUUUUAUUUGUUGCAUAAUCAAGAUAUAUAUAUCUAUCUGUUUAUUAAACUAACCUGCAGUUGCCUCCUUUGUACCUGUUGGUCGAGCAUUUCCCUUGGGUGGCCGUACCCACUGGGAACCAUGGAGUUGGUUCUCACCCCACGUGGUUUUGGGGUUUUUACAGGUUCGCACGUGAGCGGCUCGGCGGCGCGAGGCGAGGGCGUAGUUCCAUAGUUAGCGCCCUACCACCGAGACCAGAGAUAGCGGUACCCUGAGUCGGCCUUACUUAGGGAUGCAAGAAAAUGAAAAGGAUGAAGUUGUAAUAAUAUUGUUAAAGCUAGAUUGUAUUUGGAAGCCAAAAAGAAUGUAGUAUGUAAUUGUGAUGUAAAAUGAAUCUAAUGUGAAUGAAUGUAAUAAUAUAGGAUGUGUUUAUGUUGUUUGAUACCUUCCAUUAUGCAAUCUUGCUUGAAAUGUGUUCCUGGUUGGAACUUCGCACAUUGUAUUGAUUGCUAUGCCUUGAACGUACAGGGGAGACUCUGUCUGCAGUACGGGGGAAACCCUGUCCGUUCGGCGGUCUGUCGGCGGCGCCGCGACCCGGCCAAAUAGGCGGGUGGUCGCGGGGCGUGACAAAACGCUUCAUCUUGCUCACAUCCUUCCGUAUCACCGCUUGCUCCGCAGAAAGUUUUUGAAGCUCCUCAGAUAACCGCUGUUGCUCACGAUAGAUUGAUGACACCGAUACAUCCUCCUCAGAAAUAUCUAUGGAAGGACGGGAAGAAGUAGCCGCAGCAGGAGGUGGAGCAGCAGGAGGUGGAGCAGCAGGAGGAGAAGAAGCACGCUGGGACGGAGUUCGAAGCUGCACAGAGGAUUUCACGAACGUCCUUUCAUUGAUCCUUCCCAAACUAUGCUCAUAUGAUGUACAACGAACAUCCACGUCAUGAAGUCGCAGAAUCCGUAUGAUAAUUAAUGAAAAUGGCAACCGUUCAUUUUGUCCAAAAGUUUUGAUGUCCUUCGCCAUUCUCUGCCAGAUCAAAAAUGGGAUAUUCAUCUUGAUAUUUUUCGCACUUACAAUAUCAGGCCGAGCCAAUAGAUACAUGUAUAAGAUGCGAUCCCAUCUCAAAAUCUUCGUGUUUGUGAGAGGCAGAAUGUUGUAGCAAAGCACGAAGUUCAGAAACCUGUACUCCAUUCUGAAAUCUUUGGACAUAACCAUAAUGCCGUUUGAUUCAGUACCCGGCAUGCAAAUAGUGUUCACGACACGGUUCCAAUCGCGAAGUGAGUCAAAACCGGCCUGUAGAUAUUCCACUCCUUCAGUCCUAGCUUCCAUUCCUAGCACAGACGCUAUCAUAUCAGGAGUAAUUGAUAACUCCACACCACGUACGGAAGUGCGGAAUACAUAUGGGUCGCCGUCGGAGUCACUCAAGUGACCUGCUCUCAUAUAGAAUUCUCUAAUCAAUUCCAAACAGAACCCAGUUUGUUCCGGGAAAUCACAAAUCUGAUGAAGAUUACCCUUUUCAAAUAAAUCCUGAAACCCUGGCACACAGUCAAUGAUACUUGCGACACCAACAUCACGCUCACCAAUACAAUGUUUCGACGAGUACAUUGACCGUCGAGCAGACGGAACAUCCUGUAGACUGAGACGCGGAGGCUCAGAACCCGGUUCUCUAAUCUCAACACCGCCAGAUUUCCGACGACCGGUAUAUCCAGAUACCUUUCCUUUUCCUUUAUCCACGGCUUUGCCUUUCCCUUUAUCAAUGGCUUGUCCUUUCCCCUUUCCUUUUCUAGUAUCCUUUUCCUUAGCCAACACCUCUGGAGUAAAAGCCUCCCAGUCCGGCUCAUCCUCCUCAGAUUCGUCGCCAGGAGCAUACUCGCUCUCUUCAUCCUCCGGUUGUUGCUCAACCGGCCGUUUACUGGAAGAGCGCUGUCGUUUACUUCCUCGACCACCCCCAGCCAUAAGGACCACAAGCACAAGAAUCCACGAGUACAUUUUUGAAAAAUCACCUGUUAAACAUAAUGAAGUUUACAAAUGGAACAUAAGAACACUUAAUUUUUCCUUUUUUUUAUUCCAAAAAAAAUCCAGCAAAUUGAUAUAUAAAUGCUAGAUAAUCCUAGGGGCCACAAAACAUGAGAAUCAUGAACAGUUGAAGCAACAAAAAUCAGGAAAACCACAUUAUCGGAGUGAAACUAGGUUUUGAUGAUGAAAAGUUUAAAAAACGUGACCAAAAAGGUGAAGAAAUAUAAGAGAAUAAGAAAACAACAGAUCUAAUACCAAGAUCGAAGCACAAAAACACAUAUUUAGCAAGAUCUCUUGAACAAACAUCAAAAAUAUGAAACGAAACACAUUAUCGGAGUAUAUGAUAUAAAAACAACAAAAUCCGAAAAUCAUACCUAAGAUCAGUGUAAAAAGAUGAAAAGAGAGAACCAAAAUCACCCUGGGAAUAUUAGAAGCUCAGGAGAAGAGGAUGAACGAAAUUGGUAAAGUAACAUGUGAAAGACCGCAAACCCUUAUAUCCGGUUCGGGCGGAAGGACCGGUCUCUCCUGCCUGGGACCGGUCCCAGAGCCUGAAUUAGAAAAACUUCAAUUUAAGCUCAAAUUUUGUCUAGAAAAAUUAUAAGGUAUUCCACAAUGUUCAAUCAACAAAAAUAACCAAUUUCUAUCCCCAAAAAUCUCAAAUAAAAUUUCAUAAAUAAAUUUUGAAAAAUCAAUUUCAAGGAAAGUCAAUUUGGCAAAAUUGUUGACCCGAUAAUCAGUGAAAAUUCCAGAUACAUGUAGAAUAAAAUUCUACACAUCAUGCAAGAGCUAGGAAUUAAUUGUAUCGAUUUAUCAUCAUAUUUGUUAAAGAAAAUGUAUAAAUAAUUCUCAGAAUCGUGAAAUUAAAAUAAUAUGUUCAAAUUGAGUUAUGCAUAAUGUUCGAGACAGGAGUGGCUCUUUGAGCAUCUUUUUUUAUUAACAUUCCACCUUAUAUCACCUUUGAGAUGUGUACCUCUUUGAGCAUUUUUCUUUUUAUCUCUGAAAGGUACUUUCCUUUUGUCUUAGAGAUAUACGUUAAUCAAUAUGUGGUAGCUACACACACUGACCGGACGACCGGGGUGAUAGCUAUUUCCUCCAUGUGGUGGUAGUUUUCACACUCCCAGCAGGGAUGUAACUCUUUCCACAUCUUGAAUUUCAGAAAUUUUCAUUACCAAAAUCGGAAAGACUCCGCCUAAAUUAGUGCAACCCUCAAGUCAAAAAUAUUAUUGCAAUUUCAAAAUCAGAGAAAGAAUUAUUCAUCUUAUAACGAAUAAUCAAACAAACAAUUGCAACAUUCAAAGUUCAAAGCAUGAGUUGUUGAAUUUGAUUUAGUAUGCUAAACAGAAUUUCAGCGAUUUGAUCGUUCAAAAAUUAUGACAAAAGAGAACAACCUUGACAGUGAUGAAUCAAAAAUUAAAUAUGAAAUAAUUAAAGUUACGGACCGAUUCAUCUCCCAAAAGUAGCAACAUUAUUCAAGAAAUUCAAUCAUCUCUCAAGCACAAUCAGGAAAUACCGGAAACCAUUCACAAAAAAAUAAAAUGCAACAUGCACAUGAUCUAUGGCCCAAUAGAAUAUAUCUAGAUUGAAGGAUUCAUACCAAUCGCUUUUCUUAAAUGCAGAAAACGUUUUUGAUCCAGAGGUUUGGUUAAAAUAUCUGCAAGUUGAUUUUCAGUCGAAUAUAUUCAAGUUGUAGGAUGUUUGAUUCAACCAGUUCUCUUAAAAAGUGAUAUCUUAGUUCAAUAUGUUUUGUCCGUGAAUGUAAAACAGGGUUUUUAGAAAUAUUAAUUGCACUUGUGUUGUCACAAAGAAUACUAAGAGUGGUGGAAGGGAUUCGAUAGUCGCUCAGUAAACUCUUCAUCCAGAUCAAUUGAGUAGAGCAACUCCCGGCCGCAAUGUAUUCAGCUUCAGCAGUGGAAAGAGCAAUGCAGUUUUGUUUCUUACUAUGCCAGGCAACCAAACAGUGUCCAAUGUAGAAACAAGCUCCACUGGUACUUUUCCUAUCAUCUGCAAAGCCUGCCCAGUCAGCAUCUGAGUAACCGAUUAGAUCAAGAGAUGUUCCCAUAGGAUACCAGAGGCCAUAUGCGGUCGUACCUUUAACGUACCGAAUGAUCCUUUUAACCGCUUUCCAAUGGACUUCCUUAGGAUUAGCUUGAUAGCGAGCACAAAUUCCAACACUAAAAGCGAUAUCUGGCCUGCUCGCAGUCAAGUACAGUAGGCUCCCAAUCAUGCUUCUGUAUUGUUUCUCAUCCACGCUCUGUCCUUCCGAAUUCACUCCAAGUCCUUUGUUACUUGUACCCAUUGGAGUGUCAAAAUCCUUUGCACUAUCCAAUCCAAAUUUCUUAACCAAAUCUUUCGCAUAUUUGGAUUGACACAAGUGAAUUCCAUCUUUAGUUUGUUUGACUUGAAGUCCAAGGAAAUAAUUAAGCUCUCCCAUCAUCGACAUCUCAAAUUCGCUUGUCAUCAAUUUAGCAAAAUCAUUGGCAUUUUUAUCUUUAGUUGCCCCAAAGACUAUGUCAUCAACAUAUAUUUGUGCCACAAUGAAAUCUUUCUUGAAGUGUUUUACAAAGAGAGUUCUAUCCGCUCCCCCUCGGUUAUAGCACUUUUCCAAAAGAUAUUUUGUCAAGUGUUCGUACCAUGCUCGCGGAGCCUGUUUUAGUCCAUAAAGUGCCUUUUUCAGUCGAAAAACGUGAUUUGAAAAUUUUGAGUCUAUAAAACCUUUCGGUUGUUCAACAUAAACUUUCUCUUUUAAAAAUCUAUUUAGAAAAGCAUUUUUAACAUCCAUUUGAAAAAGAGUGAUUUUAAAAUGGCAGGCAAUCAUGAACAAGAUACGAAUAGAUUCAAGACGGGCAACCGGGGCGAAGGUUUCAUCAAAGUCUAUUCCCUCAAUUUGUGAGUACCCCUGAGCAACAAGUCUCGCUUUGUUCCGAACAAUAGUAUCAUCCUCAUUUUUCUUAUUCUUAAAAAUCCAUUUGGUACCUAUGAUGUGUUGUUGCUCAGGACGAGGCACUGGUUCCCAUACAUCAUUGCGAACGAAUUGACCAAGUUCUUCUUGCAUUGCAUUUAUCCAAUAUUCAUCACGUAAAGCUUCGUCAAUAUUCUUUGGCUCAAUCAAAGAUACAUAGCACGCAAAUUCAUAUUGUAGUUGACUUCUUGUUCGCACACCAACAUUAGGGUCCCCAAUUACAUUCGAUAAAGGAUGACCUCUCGACUCUGUCAGGGGUGUAGUCUCAGGAGUUAUGCUUGGGAUUUCAGAUGAGGUGUUUUGAGGCUCAGAUGAAUCAUUUGAAGCAACAUUUUCAGAUGAUGCAAUGGAAUUAUCAAGAGCAGAGACAUCAUCAUUCACAGGCAAUACAAACGGAGAAUCAUUAUCAUCAUCAUUCAUCAAGGAGUUAGAAGGACCAUUCACAGAAGAAUUUACUGAAGAAGCUUCAUCUACUUUUAUAUUAAUAGAUUCUAUCACCGUCUUAGAUCGUAAAUUGUACAAACGAUAAGCACGACUUGAAGUAGAAUAACCAAGAAAGAUCCCUUCGUCACUUCGAGAGUCAAAUUUUCCAAGAUUUUCACGAUCCCGAAGGAUAAAACAUUUACUCCCGAAGAUACGAAAGUAUUUAACAUUUGGUUUCCUACCAAGCCAAAGUUCAUACGGAGUAUUUAAGGUAUCCGGGCGCAUAUAAAUCCGAUUGAUAACAUAGACAGCUGUGUUAACUACUUCGGCCCAAAAGUGUAAAGCAAUUUUCUUACUAUGAAGCAUAACACGUGCCAUCUCCUGUACAACCCGAUUCUUGCGUUAAACAACUCCGUUUUGUUGGGGUGUAUAAGGAGCUGAGAAUUCAUGUCUUAUGCCAUUUGAAACACAGAAAUCAACAAAUUUUGAAUUUAUGAAUUCUCUCCCUUGAUCACUUCGAAUACGUACUAUUUUAUCAUUACGCUCAUUCAUAAGACGGAAACAAAUCUCAGAAAAAGAGUCAAAAGUAUCAGCUUUUUCACGUAAGAAAGCACUCCAUACAAAACGAGUAAAGUCAUCAACAAUGAGCAAGAUAUAACGUUUUUCACCCAAACUUUGAAUCCUAGAUGGUCCCAUCAAAUCCAUGUGAAGUAAUUCUAAAGGUUUAGAUGUCCCUAAAUGGUUCAAAUUCUUAUGUGCGGACCUAGUUUGUUUCCCCAAUUGACAGCCCCCACACACAGUGUUCUCUUUGAAGUCAAUCUUAGGUACACCUCUAACAACCUCCUUCUUAGUUAUCUUGGAUAGCUCCUUAAAGUUUAUGUGACCUAGUCGUUCAUGCCAUAAAGUCUCACUUUCUAAUGACGCUAGGUUACAAUGUUCAGUCGAAGAACUAGGAACUAUAUAACAGUUAUUCUGAGAUCUAAUGCCCUUUAAGAAAAGAUUGUCAUCACGAGUCACAUGGCAUUCUUUAUCGAAAAAAUUAACAGAAUACCCAUCAUCACACACUUGGCUUAUGCUUACAAGAUUAGAUUUCAGCCCCUCAACAUAGAAAACAUCAUUCAAGGUAGGGCCAUCUGAGAUAGUCACUGUUCCUUUUCCAACAAUUUUUGACGACCGACCGUCCCCAAAAACAACAAGUCCUCCGGAGAUUUUGUUCAAAGAAGUAAACCAAUUUUUAUCUCCGGUCAUGUGGCGGGAACAACCACUAUCCAGAUACCAUGAAGUAUUAUCGUAAACAUGAAGCGAAGUGUGAAUGACUAGGCAUGGGAAGAGUUCACCUUUGCGCACCCAAACCUUACGUGUUUUGGGUUGCGUCGAUUUACUUGCUUUUGGUAAUCGUGGCUUGUCGACGAUUUGAAUUGGCUUCCUCUUCAUAUCCUCCUUCUUUGGUUUCCAUGCUUGUUUUGCCUUUGGCUUCGGAGUAUUUGGUGUCCAAGUUUGUCUCUUCUUAUGACCUGCCUUCUUUGGAGUCCAAGUUGACUUCGUUGUCGUUUUAGGAUCAUUCUUCAUAGGUGCUGUUGAGCUCUUUCCCUUUUGGUUGCAAAAUUUCUUUAUGUGUCCUAAAACACCACAAAUAUGACAAGUUUUGCUAGCCAAAUUAUUUUUAGGAGAGACGAACUUACCAUAAAGUUUAGGAACAGCAGUUGACGAAUUUUCAUCAUCUUUCUUCGUUACUUGAUCAAUAUACGUCCGUUCAUAACCAAAUCCAAGUUUGUUUGUUUGACCAAGUCCAAGCAUCUUGUCAAGUUUACUUGAGCCAGACGAAAAUUGGUUCAAAUCCGACUUCAGUUGAAUGAUCGUCUUGGUGAAUUCCAUAUUUGCUUCUCUAGCUUCCGAGUAUUGCUUGGUGAGAAAAUUGAUGUUCUCCACCUGAGUCUCUUUUUUCUUUUCAAGUAACGAACACUUCUCAUAUAAAGAAUUGUAGGCCUUUGUCAAACCAUCUCUCUUGUAACACACUGGACCUUUGCAAAUUGCGAGGUUCGAGUGUUUGGAUGUGUUUCGAGCUUUUCCACACUUGGUGGAGGGUCGUAGAAUGUUUUCCGACCUAAAAAGUUCGAAAACUGGAAUUCUGGACAAGUCCUGAGAGUUUUUACUCUCGGGGACCGGUCCCUGGAAGGAGAGACCGGUCCCCCAGUGAGCAGUGCUGCGGCAGCCCUGAGGCAACCGGUCCCUGGCGGGCGAGACCGGUCCCCGAGCGCGCCUUCGCAGAGAGAGACCGGUCCCACACAAGGAGAGACCGGUUCCCGAACGUUGAUUUUUCGGGUUCGCAGCGAGAGACCGGUCCCUGCUGGGGAGAGACCGGUCCCUCUGGGCGAAAACUGCCCAGACCGGGCUAAUGCAAUUUUGGAUUUUUGGAGGACCUAGCUGGAUUUUGUUACAAUAGAUGGCCUAUAUGACCCAUCCCCUCUCUCUUCUCCUCAUUUCUCUCCUCUCAACUCUCUCUCUACACCCUAUGUCAUGCCCCGGGACCGGCGAAGGCCCUCCCGGUAGCGUGCCCAGACCCGCCAUAUGUCAACACAUAUAAGGCGUCUACAAUAAAAGCGGAAGUAAAAGCAAGAAAUAGUACAAAUAGAGCAGUAACAACUAGUGAUAUCAGAGCGAGAGUAGAGAAAGCAUAACUAAACAAUAAGAGUAAACAUAAGGUAGUACAAAUAAUAUCUUCUCAACAGGAAUACAAGGAUCCAAAAGAAGGGUGGUCUCUCUACAAAUACAGGUACAACUCACAACCUCUCACAAAAUGAAACUACUAGAGGUAGACCACCUAUCAAAUCGUACUCAAAGGAAGCUAGCUCGAAGCAACUCCCUACCCGCGGUCCCUAGCCUCUCCCGGCGUGGAAGGCUCUGAAAGAAAACACAAAACAGAGGGCGUGAGAACUAUGAUUUAUAGUUCCCAGUGGCCAAUUACUGACCUCAGCUCAGUGCACCACUAGGCCCCAAGGAAAAGGGUAAGUCUAACAAUAAGAGUAACGAGUAAAUCGCAUAUUAGAAAGCAUAAUAAUUAGGAUGCUAAGCUACAACUUGCAAUUAAACAUAGCAUUCCUAAUGCGACUUUAUCUUGUCAUGGAUAUAUAUGUUCACAAGUAAUAUCAUGCUUUACUUUAUACAGAUAUGAAAGUAAUACUUGGUUAUGACUACAAUGCAUAUAAGGAUGCAAUAAACAACAUCUCCUAGCAUACUACAUGUAUGUAUGAAUACCCAAAUGUCCACAACUAUGCUAGAAGUAAGUCCAAGUAAUCCUACUACUACUCUCUGACUAGUAGUGAUCAUAAUAAACUCAACACCGUGUCGAUUUUCAUUUCCAAUUAAGGACCUACCAAAGGUAGUCCAGCUUGUGCCGCCUAAGUGCCUGUGGUAGCCCAACAUCCCUACUCUUGGGAUGUGUGUCACGCCCCGCGACCGCCCGCCUAUUUGGCCGGGUCGCGGCGCCGCAACAGAUCGCCGAAUGGACAGGGUUUUCCCUGUACCGCGGACAGAGUCUCCCAUGUACAUUCAAGGCUUCGCAAUCAAUACAAUGUACGAAGUUCCAAUCAGGAACACAUUUCAAUCAAGAUUGCAUAAUGGAAGGUAUCAAACAACAUAAACACAUCCUAUAUUAUUACAUUCAUUCACAUUAGAUUCAUUUUACAUCACAAUUACAUAAUACAUUCUUUUUAGCUUCCAAAUACAAUCUAGCUUUAUCAAUAUUAUUACAACUUGAUCCUUUUCAUUUUCUUGCAUCCCUAAGUAAGGCCGACUCAGGGUACCGCUAUCU